GCAUAUCAAUAAGCGGAGGAAAAAGAAACCAACAGGGAUUGCCUCAGUAACGGCGAGUGAAGCGGCAACAGCUCAAAUUUGAAAUCUGGCCUCACGGUCCGAGUUGUAAUUUGUAGAGGAUGUUUCGAGCAUGGUCCGGCCUAAGUGUCUUGGAACAGGACGUCAUAGAGGGUGAGAACCCCGUAUGCGGUCGGGUGCCUACGCUCAUGUGAAACUCCUUCGACGAGUCGAGUUGUUUGGGAAUGCAGCUCAAAAUGGGUGGUAAAUUUCAUCUAAAGCUAAAUAUUGGCCAGAGACCGAUAGCGCACAAGUAGAGUGAUCGAAAGAUGAAAAGCACUUUGGAAAGAGAGUUAAACAGUACGUGAAAUUGUUGAAAGGGAAGCGCUUGCAACCAGACUUGGGCGCGGCCGAUCAUCUGGUGUUCUCACCGGUGCACUCGGUCGCGUGCAGGCCAGCAUCGGUUCUGGUGGCUGGAUAAAGGCCCUGGGAACGUAGCUCCUCUCGGGGAGUGUUAUAGCCCAGGGUGCAAUGCAGCCUACCGGGACCGAGGACCGCGCUUCGGCUAGGAUGCUGGCGUAAUGGUUGUAAGUGACCCGUCUUGAAACACGGACCAAGGAGUCUAACAUCUAUGCGAGUGUUUGGGUGUCAAACCCAUACGCGUAAUGAAAGUGAACGGAGGUGAGAACCCUUAAGGGCGCAUCAUCGACCGAUCCUGAUGUCUUCGGAUGGAUUUGAGUAUGAGCAUAGCUGUUGGGACCCGAAAGAUGGUGAACUAUGCCUGACUAGGGUGAAGCCAGAGGAAACUCUGGUGGAGGCUCGCAGCGGUUCUGACGUGCAAAUCGAUCGUCAAAUUUGGGGCAUAGGGGCGAAAGACUAAUCGAACCAUCUAGUAGCUGGUUCCUGCCGAAG
rnacentral:rRNA from 1 species